AUAAUAUUAUUUAAUUUUAAGAAUUAAUUGAUAUUUUAACAGUUUGUGAUCAGGUUUUAUCAAUACAUUCUGGCACAACCGGCUCUUUAAGAGCAUUUAUGAUGUUGAUUUGGCCAAAACCAAAAUGAGUUUGACAACCCUGAUUUUAAA